CAGCACGGGAGCAAUCCUGGUGGCGAGUGGCGAACGGGUGAGUAAUAUAUCGGAACGUGCCCAGUCGUGGGGGAUAACGUAGAGAAAUUUACGCUAAUACCGCAUACGAUCUAAGGAUGAAAGCGGGGGACCUUCGGGCCUCGCGCGAUUGGAGCGGCUGAUAUCAGAUUAGGUUGUUGGUGAGGUAAAAGCUCACCAAGCCGACGAUCUGUAGCUGGUUUGAGAGAACGACCAGCCACACUGGGACUGAGACACGGCCCAGACUCCUACGGGAGGCAGCAGUGGGGAAUUUUGGACAAUGGGCGAAAGCCUGAUCCAGCGAUGCCGCGUGCAGGAAGAAGGCCUUCGGGUUGUAAACUGCUUUUGUACGGAACGAAAAGGUCUGCCCUAAUACGGCGGGCCCAUGACGGUACCGUAAGAAUAAGCACCGGCUAACUACGUGCCAGCAGCCGCGGUAAUACGUAGGGUGCGAGCGUUAAUCGGAAUUACUGGGCGUAAAGCGUGCGCAGGCGGUGAUGUAGGACAGUUGUGAGAUCCCCGGGCUCAACCUGGGAAUUGCAUCUGUGACUGCAUCGCUAGAGUACGGUAGAGGGGGAUGGAAUUCCGCGUGUAGCAGUGAAAUGCGUAGAUAUGCGGAGGAACACCGAUGGCGAAGGCAAUCCCCUGGACCUGUACUGACGCUCAUGCACGAAAGCGUGGGGAGCAAACCGGAUUAGAUACCCUGGUAGUCCACGCCCUAAACGAUGUCAACUGGUUGUUGGGUGCAUUAGUACUCAGUAACGAAGCUAACGCGUGAAGUUGACCGCCUGGGGAGUACGGCCGCAAGGUUGAAACUCAAAGGAAUUGACGG
rnacentral:rRNA from 1 species